AUCAUUCAAAUAUGUUAUUCUUUUGUAAAAACUUGUGUCUUUAUCCAGAUAUCUAGAUUAGGAGCUUUACUAUGAUAUUUAUAUCAUCUAACUCUAUAGAAAGAUUCGUUUGAGAAAAAGAAUUUUGGUAGGGAAAGCUUUAAAUAAAUAAACAAGAAAAUAUUGGCACACGUCUAUUAAUACCGAUAAAUAUAUUUUAUUAUUUUUAUUUAUUUAUAUAAACUAAUCAAAUAGUUAAAACCAGAUCCUGCAGCUGGACAAUAAUAGGAACUUAAAUGCCUUAAGCAAAAACAAUAACACAAAACAUGGCUCAUUAAAUAAAGGCCCCAAAAUGAGAACAAGCCGCUUGCCAGUUAACAACAAAGAAAACAAAAACAAUCAGUAAAAACAACAACAACUUGGAGACUUGGAGAAUUUGUGCGGCGAAACACACCUUUAAAGCCCCACAGAUGAGAAAGGAGAGUUCAAUGCACGCAAAUCGGAUUAAGCAAAGAAAUUAAGUAAUACGCCGUGCAGAUAGGCAGAUAGACAGACAGACAAACAGACAGAUAGAUAGAUAGGUAGAUAGAUAGAUGGAUAGAUGGAGGGAUGUGCGGGGAAAAUGCUGGCAACCUGUCAUUGGAGAAAUGGAAACGGAAAACCAAAUCAAACGCAACAAAACUGAGAGCCAAACCAAGCAAUGGGCGUUAGAAUGUCAGGAAGUGCAGACACACAGGAAGCAAAUGUGAGAACAUGAUAUUAAAUGGAGGCGUUACGAGUUUAAGACUGGAACAGGGACGGGGGCAGAGCUUGCCCAACCGAUUGCGACAAAAAUACAACCGAACGCAUCGAAGCUUAAAACUCAACUGACCGAAGC